AACCUGCCCUCCACUCUGGGAUAACUCCGGGAAACCGGUGCUAAUACUGGAUAUGACCUGAACAGGCAUCUGUAUCGGGUGGAAAGAUUUAUUGGUGGGGGACGGACUCGCGGCCUAUCAGCUUGUUGGUGAGGUAAUGGCUCACCAAGGCGACGACGGGUAGCCGGCCUGAGAGGGCGAUCGGCCACACUGGGACUGAGACACGGCCCAGACUCCUACGGGAGGCAGCAGUGGGGAAUAUUGCACAAUGGGCGCAAGCCUGAUGCAGCGACGCCGCGUGAGG
rnacentral:rRNA from 1 species